ensembl:rRNA 5S_rRNA 5S ribosomal RNA
GCUUACGACCAUACCAACCUGGACAUGCCCGAUCUCGUCUUAUCUCGGAAGCUAAGCAGGUUUGGGCCUGGUUAGUACUUGGAUGGGAGACCGCCUUGAAAUACCAGGUGCUGUAAGCU